rnacentral:lncRNA from 10 species
ACUGGCAAAGCAGUCCAGCCUCCGUCUUCUGGUCCACUCUGCUCUGAGCAGCCUGGGAUGCUGAACUCUUCAGAGAGAUUUUUUUAUAGAGAGAUUUCUAUAAUUUUGAUACAAGGUCAUGACUAUCCUAGAACUCUCUGUGGUUUUUGAAAAUCAUUGAAUUCUAUUAAUGUAGGUACCUAAAGUGACCUUAACUGAAUGUGGAUGAGGCUCAAGCGAUCCUUCUGCCUCAGCCUCUCUGGUAGCUGAGACUGCAUGCCCAGCUCCAAAUCACCUUGAUUCAUAUCAGCAGUAAUAAUCACUUGUGUUCUGAAAGAAAGGGCACCAGAAGUUCUAGCAAAAUUCAGUUGUGUUCUGUGAGCUAGCACUUUUUCCUCUGACCCAAUUUUCUUACCUAUAAAAUGGUGAUAAAAACCGACAGGUUGUUCAAAGGCCCAGAUCAGCUAAAGCAUGUAUAUAAGAGCACGUUGUAAACUUGAAAGAGACAAAGGCA